AAACUCAAAAUGGGAGACAUUGGACAAGAUAACUGGCCAAACUCUUCCGAAGUGUCAAAGUCAUGAUGUCAAAGAGAGAGGGGAGACCUGAUUCCUGCUCCAGGACACCUCAGAGACAGGACAACUAAAUGAAAACCCAGCUACAGCAGAUCAGCAAGAGAAUCAGGCUGUCUGGUUUGGAAAAUAAAUUUUGACACUGCUCUGUCCUCCCUGUCCUGGUAAGUCCUGGAUGUUCAGCAGCAAGUUAGCCUGGGGUCCUGAGGGUCAUGUGAAUAUGGCUAUAUGUCAUGCAUGCGACUGUAAGUCCUCCUUCCAGCCACCGUGGUCACCUGCAAAGUCCCUUCCCUCACAUUUCCCUGAGGCUUCUUGCUUCCCUUUUGUUAUAUUUUUGCCCUUCAGGUCUAUCUUUAGUUUUACCUUUUAUGACAUUUUAUCAGCAUAAAAACAGAGUUAUCAAUGGAAAAUAAACAUCUGAAAAAGGUCUAACUUCACUAAUUAAAGUAAUAUAAUUCAAAUAAUGAGAGAUAAUUUUUCUCUAAUUUAGAGAAAUUUGUCAAAGAUUAGAGGAUAUGAUAACCAGUGUUGCUAAGGCUGUGAUGAAAGGGCUGCAUUCAUACCCAGUUGCUGAGAGUAUGGAUUGAAACCAUCUUCCUAAAGGCCAGUUUUAAGAACCUAAAAAAUAGACAGAAAUUCCACUUUUAGGAAUGUGUUCUAAGGAAAUCAUCGGAAAUAUCUGCAGAUUUAUGUUUUAGAGUAUUUACAGAAUAUUAUUUGUCCCCCCAAAUGGGGAUUGGUUAAAUAAGUUAUAGCACAUCCAUUUGAAUAAAAAACAAACACAUAUCCAUUAAAAAUCCUGUUUUGAAAAAUCUUUAGUGUCAUAGGAAAAUGUUUGUGAUAUACUAUUAUCUGAAAAAAA
rnacentral:lncRNA from 1 species